rnacentral:lncRNA from 1 species
AGUUUCCGCAGUCGAUGAUGGCGUUGUAGGAGGCGUUUACCGAGCCGAAGUAGUACUGGGUCUGUUUCAUGACGCAGCUGCUCUCGCGCGUCUCGGGGCUCCCCUCGGCCUCCGCGGGGUCUGCGAGGGCCCAGAGCGCCUCAGCUCCGCCCACAGACCCUGGCAAGGUCUCCGGCCUCCCUCAGUCGUAGACCCCACCCUCCCCAUGGAGUCGUCUUAGCUCAGAUUGGGGACCCGGACUUGAGGAGGCGCCUCCAAAGCCCUACCUACCUGCUUGGAACCAGCUGUGGUAGAUGAGGCCGUAGAGAAGCUGCUGGAACAGGGACCUGCAGCGCACGGGGAGCCGAGUGCAGGUGGUCAGCAGAGGACGAUGCCAUGCCCUACUUCUCUUCUGAGCCCUCCCGGCCAGGGAGCACCUUCUCUACCCACCUCCCGCUCAGGACUCACCAGGCGGCAGCAGAGGUCCACCAGGCCAGGUUAAGGAAAUCUGCAACGGUGGGCUGCAGUGGAGAGAGGGGCGUGGACUGCCACUGCUGCCCCUCGCCCUAGGUCACCCCCAGCUUUAUCAAAUGUCAGAGCACCAGGAAUCCUCCAUCAUCAAUGAGGACACAGAGCUGGGUGAUGCCUACGUGUUGAGAUCCUGGUCCCUCCACACACGCUCUACCAGCUGCUGCGUGAUGCCCGUGUCCAAGAUCAGGUUGUGCAGAAGGAAGUUGUUGCCUGGAACAGGAGGGGAGGGGUGGGGGUGGGGGCAUCUUCUUGCAGCUCCUUGCCCACCCUCACCCCCACCCUUAAGGCUCCACCAGGAGCCUCCUCCAUGACCUGGCCCUGGCCCAGGCCCAGCCCUUAGCUUGUGCCUGCUUAUUUCCACACCUGCCCGGCCUCUGGGUUCCUCUGGGCUGGCCCCAUGCUGCCUGGGCACUGCCCAGAGCCAGCUGCCCUGCCAGGCACUCACACUGCUUGGAGUCUGGAGUCACUUUCUCCAUGAGCUCAAUAAAGUUUUUCAGGAACUCGG